GAACACACUUCUCAGUGUCUGAAGCUGCUGCUUGCUACUGUAAAACUUUGUUUCUACACUGUUUGCUGCUUAUAGGAGCUGGAACUGGCCCCCUUAUUUUACUGUGAAACUUUAUUUCUACAUUCUCAAAACUUUGUUUCUCACUUUAUUACAUCACUUCCAGUCAUAAACUGAAAGACUAUACCCAUUUCCUUGAUCUCUCAGUUCUCUAGACCAAUCACUAAUGAGCCCCUUGAUGAGCAAGCAGGAGUACACACAAUACAAUAUUCCCAGGAGACAGAAAAAGAGUCCAUUCCAACAGUCAACUGGAAUAGAAAAGUAUGCUCUCUGCCUCUUGUGAAAAUACGAAAUCUAUGUGAUUUUAUGGGGAUUUUAUUCGUUUGGGGAGUUCUGUUUGUUCAUUGCCACUAUAUGGUGAAGCACUCCACCGCCCUGUUUACUGGGAUAGGACUAUGUCAUUUAGAAGAAAGUAGUUGUGUCCCGUGGCAUAAACUGGAUGCCAGCCACUGCUGGAGUGCUCCACACACAUCAUCUCACAGCGUCCUUGUAACAGUGCUGUGGGUUGGAGACUGUUGUUCUGGCUUGGAUAAGAACCUGAAGCUAAUAAAGAGCCUCUCUGCUCAGCUCUCCUGGGUCUCCUGAUGCUUGCAGGGUCCUGAGCUCUACCUCCCACCCCACCUCCCCUGAUGUUAGCACCUCUUGUUUUCCUGUAGGUUAUCGGAUGCACAAUCAUGACCAUCAACCUCCUUUCAUGGCCACUCCCCACUGUUCCUUUAACUACCAACAGUAUGCCCACCCUAACUUUAACCUUAAUUUCUACAGACUUGAGCUCACCAAUGUCCAGAGAGCUGCCCUAAGGGGAGCUUGCUGAGACUCAAGGAUGCAUGGGGACUAAAGGACAAAAAUGUCCUUGAGAGGGAAAGAAAGAGACGCAACAGCAUAGAAGGGUGACUUAAUAAGAUGUGGGAAGGGUUCAACAGCAGAACUGACCGCAGCAGAGAACACCUAGAAAAGAAGACAGUAGAAGGGACGAUCAGGCAAGAGGAAAAUUUAGCCAACUGUGGUCAGAUGUGCAAAUAGCUUACCGCUUCUGCCUCACUGUCCUACACAACACUUAGCAUAGAACUCAUUCAAUUACAAAAUUUGAGCUGGACAGACCUUGUGGGUUUGAAUUGUUCUUUUAAAGUUUAAUCCUCAUUUUAUCGUGUGUGUGUGUGUGUGUGUGUGUGUGUGUGUGUGUGUGUGCAUGUGAGUGUGUGUAUGUGUGUGUGUGUAGACAUGUACAUGCUGCAUGUGCAUGAGUGCCCCACACUGCACCUGUAGAGGCUAGAGGACAACUUUCAGGACUUGAUUCUGAUCCUUCCCAGGUAACUUAGCUAAGACCAUCAGUCCUGCAUAGCAAGUGCUUCUGCCUGGUGAGCCAUCACACUGGCCCGCGGUUGGUUUAUUUUGUUGGAAUAGCGAUGUCCUCCUAGCCCAACAAUGCUAUACUGCAGAGUUUGUUGAACUUAAAGAAGUCAUCUGCUCACAUUUCCAAGCUGGAAAAAACCUUUGAGGAUAUCUGGAUCAGAGACCAUCUACCUACAAAUGAUUUGUAUAUUCUAAUGCAAAUGCUUUUCAUUUUAUUGAUUUAUUUGGAGGUUGUGUGCGUGUGUCUGUUUAUGGACACAUGUGUGUAAGUGUGUAGAGACCAGAAGAUGACCUCUAGUGUCCCAUCUCUGUCUUGUUCCACUGAAACAGGGUCUCUCACCAAACCUGGAGAUAACUAAUAGCCAGUGACCCCCAGAAUCCUCCUGUCUCCGCCCACCCACAGAGCUAGAGUUUCAGACACAAGUUACCGCACCCAGCUUUGUAUGUAGGCUCUGGGGAUUUGAACUUGGGUCCUCCUCCUUGCUCAGCAGAAGUCAUCUGAGCCGACUGAGCCAUCUCCCUAAUUCCCAGAGAUGUUCAAAGUUUUGUAGGGUUUGCUUUGUUCUGCUUUGCUUUUGAGGGCAAGGCACCCAACUAUUAAUUUACAACCUUAGUCCUCAAAAGCUCCUUAAAAACUCUCUCUAGUGUUGUAGGGAACACAUAGUACUAACCUGGGAACUCAGCAAACUCUUGACAGACCUGUGUCUGCACUAGAAAGCCAACAGGCUGACAGCCGCUUCCAUUUGUCGUCAUUCGCUUUAUGUGAUCAGAAGAACCACAGGAAGGGUCGGAGUGUCUGGCUAGGACUUCCUUUGUCUCUCUUCCUUAUCCUUUUCCCCAAAAGUCUCCUCAGCAGAAACCUUGCAAGUUUAGAGAAAGGAUACACUAUCAGCCACAGUGACUUAAGCGUGAACGGCAGAGUGAUGCUGGGUUGCCAGUGAUUUACACCGAUCCCCUUGGCCUCUGUGAGGGAAAUAUCCCUCUUCUCUGUGCUCCACAAAACUAGAAAUGAAGGCUCUAACUCACAGCCUGGGAGAGCCUGGGCUCUGGUCCAAGUCUCCCCAUUCCCAAGGCCUUGCUCUAGAGGGCUCCCCAGUGGACUAUUAGAUCAGUCUGUGAGGUUUAGAAUGGACAGGGCCGGUGACGAAUCCCUUCUGCAGCCUGAAGUUCACAAGGCAGCUGAAUAGAUGACAACUCCCCCACCAGCCUGCUGUCUGCCGUCCAGGGUGCUUCUCCAGGAAGCCAGUUCCCUUUCCUCUUGUUCCUUACCUUACCUUGUAUUUGUACCCUCUUAAAUCUGCCACAGUUAAGUGGGACCCCUCCUAGUUGAACCUCCAUUGUAGAAACCAGAAACUCUCCUCUCUACUAUGCCUAGCCCAGCCUAGUGGCUCUGGCAGGGUCUCCUGAGAGUCGAUUACUUAAAACCCAGAGGCCAUUCAUAAACUCCAAAUGCUGGGGAGGCUGCCAGGCACAUGCAGCAAAAUCUUCUAAAUCUAUGUAUGAUGUGCCUCAAAAUUGAUAGUGCAGCCAAGCAAGAACUGUACAAUAUUCUGGGAGUCCCUUCAAUCCCUCUGAACUCAUUCACACUCUGUACAUCUGUGCAAUGACAAUAUAGUCAGAAAUUCUUAUUCAACUUGGGUUUUGGACAAUUUCAUCCCUGUACAUGGCUCAUUCUGAUUUCUGUCACCUUUACCUUCUUUUAUCUCCCUCUUCACCCUGUCUCCCACCCUCUAUAAAUCCCUUUCUCACAUUCACAUCUUUUUGAGUCAUUUUGUGACCCAGUGGAUUUAACCAAGGCCAUCUGUGUGAACAUGGGUUCGGAGUUCUCCAUGAGAGCUUGGUGAGUUCAGAUAGAUGGUAUUUCAUGAACACUUAACCAGCUCUUGACAGCACUCCACACUCGCUGCCCUAUUUAAACUUCACAGCAGCUGUAGGCAGCCAGUACAAUGGGCAUCUCAAGCGACUUCGCUAAAGAUCUAGACAUACAGCUCCAUUGGUAAAGUCUCACAAGCUUGAAGACCAGAGCCCAAUUCCCUAAUGCCCCAUGGAAAAACAAAACAAACACACAGACACCCAUGAACCCAUGCACACACACACACACACACACACACACACACACACACACACACAACCAAAAGCCACAGGAAAAUGAUUCUCAGCUGACAUGACCAUAGGGAGUUGGAGGGAAGAAACUAUUUUUGCUUCUCAACUUUAAGGAUAGCAUUUCCCCUUGCCUCGGUUAAUCCCAAAGAUGGGUGGAGAAAGAUCACUGCCGGAGAUCAUCAUGGCCAAAUUAGUUAAAGCGAGCUUUUUUAAUCUGUGUACAUGGCCUGCCUCCCCCUAAGGUGAGGUUAGAGAGGCCAGCCUUGGAUGUGAGGAAGACAAGGCCAUUAUAGAGCUCAGGGGUAGGGGGAUUGCAAAUAGGGAUAAUAAGCCAGGAUACAGGAGCAGAAUAAAAUAGGUGGUCAAAACAAGGUAACCACAAGGAAGUCAUAGCAAACUAGUCAUCAGGGGUCUCAGAACCAAGACGUGAGCACCAUUCCUAGAACAGGCAGGACAGAACCAUUUGGGUUGAGGUUACAGGUUCAGUCCUGGAGAAACGGGUUUAGUCAUAAACAGGAAUGAACCUAGUUUGUCUUUCCUAUAAGGUAGCUUUUAAGCCUAAGAUGGAGGCAGCCUGGUUCUUCACCUCCACUAAUGAAGAGAAUAAUGCCAGGCCCCUUCCCGACAACCCUUUUGCUGGCAUCACCAAUGAGAGACAUAACAGAGGGGCUCAGCCCCUGCUCUUGCUUCUGCUUGGGUAAACUCAGAAGUUCGGGCUCAGAAGUUGCAAGAUGGAUGGAAGAUUGCCUAAGGAAAACACAGGCUCCGAGCGACCAGAACUGAGAGCAGGCCACAAUUUACGAUCCAAGAGGAAUAGACAUUUGGUUUCAUCCUCCCCUGAUAUAUAGAAGCUACAGAGGCUUUUAGAAGACACAACAGACAGGUUAUAUGUAAAUCAAUAACAAUUUUUCUUUUGUCACUCAAGCCAUGAAUACUGACUAGCUAGGUUUCAUGAUAUCCCAAUAAGGUAAGUAAGUUUUAUGAUCCUGUUCCAAUCCAAUUAUUCUUUAGUGUUUUAAUUAGCCUAAAUGAUUUUCUUUUCCUCCAUAGAAUAUUUUUUUUUCCAGAUCCCUACGUCUCCAGCAAAUUGUCUUGCCACAGCUGAGUGCAAGCAGCAGAGACAGCUAAGCAUGAUGCAAUUAGUCAGACAAAAUGGAGAACCAUGCGAGGACAGCUUUGGCAAGGACUGGCAGACAUGGCUGAAGGUAUUCCCUGAGAGCUAUGACUAUAAUGGAAGCUUUGCUUAAUUCUAGCACAGUCCUUAUUGUGAAGCAGGCACUUACCACACACGUAUGGAGUGAAAGAUAAUAAACCUUCUCCUGGGGUAUGAGUCUGUGAUUACUGCACAGAUGGCCUGGAGCCCUUCAUGUGAGGAGAUCUGCAUCGACAAUGGUGGACUUUCAGCCACUACCCAAUGUCAGAAGCAUGCAAUGACUGUGUCUAUGGUUAGGAUGGAUCUGAGAGACAGGCAUCAUAUCUGCAAAGCAAAGCAGGACAAAAUU